ensembl:lncRNA
CAGCCCUGCAUAGAGAGUGGUUUGCUGUUUUUCACAAGGGGAAGAAAUGCUUAUAGGUGGUGGCUUGGGUACCAUUAUUGCAUGGGGUAAAUGCUCACAUUGGUGCUAUCUUGCAGCCCUAAUUGCUCUGCUGACAUCAUAACUCACCCUUUUAAUCUGUCCUUUCAAAGUUUAUAAACCUUGUCUGGCUCUUGAAAUGACUUCUUUUAGGGGGAACCUGCAGGGAGGAUCUGCUGUAUACCUCCCAAAGCUCCUCCAGGUCUGUGACAAGCUCUGCACCUUCCUAUCCCAGGGCUCCACAGCUCAAUGAUAGAGAGAUGUUUUUGUUUUUCACAUUUGCCUUGGAUUAGCCCAUGUUCUGCUUCCAUCACAUGUUCCAGCAGGCUCUCACAUGUGUUUGCAGCUUCACUGCAGGCUCAUGCAGACUCAGCCUAUGACCAAGUCAGCUGUCACCACCCUGACCCUCUUCUGAAUUACUUCAUUUAAGCCUGCUAAUGCUUCAGGAACCCUCAAAAGAAAGCCAGGGGAAUCUCCAACGACUGCAGGUUCUGAGCUAGCUGAAACUGCUGUGGCCAGAAAAGGCUCAGAGACCUUCCCCAUCCCUCAGCAGCAAAUUGCUCCUCCAGGCAGAUCCGUUCUGGUGUUACAAGAUGUAAGGAUGAUGAGGUGUUGCAAGGAGCUGUGCAUUUCCAACCCAUACCUGCUGGCUGGCAAGAAGAUUCUGGAUUAGCUCCAUCCAUCCCCAGAGGAUGGUAGGAAACAGCACCUCCCCAUCCCCACCCCUUUUUUCAGCUCUGUUUAUAGCAGUGCCUGUUUGCUUCAGGAGUCGUCUGGUGGUGUCCUCUAGUGGUUCCUACCCGUACAGGAAACACCAGUUCCCUUGGCUAAUUUGUGUCAGCUGUAUUGCAAAAAGCAAUUGGGGGAAGGAAAACCACAAACUUAUGACAUGACUCAAAGGAAUAGAAAAAUAUGAAAUUUCCUUUCUUCGGUUAUAUGCUUAAAAGUUAUAGCAAAAUGGAGUCCUCCCUAACACUGAGGCAGUUUUACAAAAGGUAACCAACAGCAGCACAAUUAAAUACUUUUGAAGCGACGGCUUUCUAUAAAUAUAGGAAAAAUCAUAAACGGCCAGUAGGACUAUUAAUUAACAUGUGAAAGUAGAUAAAUAAUGAAUAACAGUGUCAUGUAUUCAUUAAGAUUCUACAAAUGAAAAAUAUCUUCCCCAGUUAUUCCUUUGAUGAAUCUAGCCCAAAUAUACUUGAACUGCAACAUAAAAAAUUCAGAACUCUCGUAUUUCAUUCUCUAUCAGCCGUUCUCUGAUCCCCAAAUCUCAAAGCCAAGAACUGCAGAUGUCUGAUCACAUCAUUGAUACCUCCCUCAUUCUGCAGCCUUAGACAAGUCAUUUACUCCUCCGUGACCUUAAUACAAGAAUCUCUCUAAGAAACCCUUGUGAGGUCGUGCAUAAUUUUUGAAGCUGAGACACCUGCAAGAAGCAACCAAGUCUCUUUGGAAGAACCAGAACUGAGCAUGCCACUGAAAUCCAAAGGCAGCCUUGGGCCUUAAGUCACUUCUGCACUUAAAAACAUGAAGAAAAUAUUCCUCUGAACAUCUGUCACGUCACCAGCCUACAACACAAGGAGCUGCAUCACACCACAACUUAUUUAUGGGAACCCAACAACUGCCAUCAUGGACUGCUCCUCCUCCCACUCCAAGCCCUGAUGAAGAAGGAAGCAUGAGGGCAAGUUGUCACCAGACCCCGCUGCCCCUUCCAAGGGAUUGCUCAGCCUGGCGAUUCUUUUUUCUCUCACAGAAAACGUUUUCACUAAACAUUAAAAUAAGGUUCCUGAAGUGUACCAGCAGUUGUUAAUAAAAGACAUGCUUUCCCCUGGGGUUUGUCAGCUCUGCACUUCAAAGCUUAUUUUACACACAGGCCGUCGCUGUAUUUUAAGAAGUGAAUGUUAACAUGAGCUCUUUAGUCAUCUGAAUAAAAGUAUCAGGAGCCCCCUCUCCUUCCCCUUCCCAUCAAACUGAAGAAAAGAAAAAAAAAUCCCAGCAGCUUUAGAUGGAUUUGAAAAUGCCAUUGUUUUUCUGAUAUAUCUUUACUGCUUUGCUUUGUGUUUUGGACUCAUGCUGUCCCACCAUCAACCCUCCACUCUCCCAGAUCCAGAAUC